GAAUAAAUUUUUAACGGCCGCGGAAUUUUAACCGUGCUAAGGUAGCAUAAUCACUUGUCUUUUAAUUGGAGACUUGUAUGAAUGGUCAAACGAAUAUAGACUAUCUAAUUUAAUAUUAUAUAAAAAUUAUUCUUAAAGUGAAAACCCUUUAAUAAAACAAAAAGACAAAAAGACCCUGUAGAGUUUUAUUUUUAUAUAAUUUUCUAUUAUUUAAAAAUUUAGUUGGGGCAACUAAGAAAAAUAAAAAUUUUUCUUAAUAAUACGAUCAUAAAAUCAUUAAUUUAAUAAUACAAAAUAAAUUACCUCAGGGUUAACAGCGUAAUUUUCUUUGAGAGCCCAAAUCGAAAAGAAAAAUUAC
rnacentral:rRNA from 1 species